UCUGCGCCGGGGUAUGGCGACCGGCGCUUCAGAAGCGCCAGUCGAGGUUCAGCCCCACGUUGUGGAAC
rnacentral:tRNA from 4 species